rnacentral:rRNA from 1 species
UGACGGUAGCUAAGGAGAAAGCCACGGCUAACUACGUGCCAGCAGCCGCGGUAAUACGUAGGUGGCAAGCGUUGUCCGGAAUUACUGGGUGUAAAGGGAGCGCAGGCGGGAAUUCAAGUUGGAUGUGAAAUGUCGGGGCUUAACCCCGGAACUGCAUCCAAAACUGUAUUUCUUGAGUGAAGUAGAGGUAGGCGGAAUUCCGAGUGUAGCGGUGAAAUGCGUAGAUAUUAGGAGGAACACCAGUGGCGAAGGCGGCUUACUGGACGGUAACUGACGUUGAGGCUCGAAAGCGUGGGGAGCAAACAGGAUUAGAUACCCUG